GAUUGGCCAGCAAUGGUCUUCGGCGAGGUGCUGCAUGGUUGUCGUCAGCUCGUGCCGUGAGGUGUCGGCUUAAGUGCCAUAACGAGCGCAACCCCCACCGACAGUUGCUAACUGGUCAAGCAGAGGACUCUGUCGGGACUGCCGGCGCAAGCUGCGAGGAAGGCGGGGAUGACGUCAAAUCAGCACGGCCCUUACGUCCGGGGCGACACACGUGUUACAAUGGCAGGUACAGCGGGAUGCCAUGGGGCGACCCAGAGCGGAACCCGAAAACCUGUCUCAGUUCGGAUUGGAGUCUGCAACCCGACUCCAUGAAGCUGGAUUCGCUAGUAAUCGCGCAUCAGCCACGGCGCGGUGAAUACGUUCCCGGGCCUUGUACACACCGCCCGUCAAGCCAUGGGAGCCGGGGGUGCCUGAAGGCCGUGACCGCGAGGAGCGGCCUAGGGUAAAACUGGUGACUGGGGCUAAGUCGUAACAAGGUAGCCGUACCGGAAGGUGCGGU
rnacentral:rRNA from 1 species